rnacentral:rRNA from 1 species
UACGAGGGGUGCAAGCGUUGCUCGGAAUUAUUGGGCGUAAAGGGUAGGUAGGUGGUCUUAUUUGUCUGGGGUGAAAGCCUUGAGCUUAACUCAAGAAGUGCCCCGGAAACGGUAAGACUGGAGUCCUGGAGAGGGUCGUGGAAUUCCCGGUGUAGCGGUGAAAUGCGUAGAUAUCUGGAGGAAUACCGGUGGCGAAGGCGGCAUCCUGGACCGAGAUUGACGCUGAUGAGCGAAAGCUAGGGGAGCAAACGGG